CGCGGGCAAAGAGCUCGAGGCGAGGUCUCGGGUUUCGGCUUGGGGGUAUUCCUCCUCAUCUUUGACAUUUUACUUUUUCAAAUGAUUCACUCUAGUAAACAGUAGAACAGGAAUCUUUGGGAGGCGAUGAUGAUGAUGGAGUUUAUGCGGUAACAAAAGUAAAUGUAUGCCCCAGCAGAGGUACUCUUAUUAACCAAUAAGAUGUUUUGCUUUGGUACUCAGAGCAUUAAGACGCAUGCUUAUUUUUGUUUUUGUCCCUUGAUCCUGGUUCUAGGGUAGAGAUACAGCUGGUACAUUCAGAUGUUGGACCCGUCUCAGUAGCAAUAUGAAACACAGCUGUGAACUAUUACAUCUCAAGCAUUCUCCUUCCUGAGGUCAAUGAAAAGUUGCAGAAAGGAUACCCACUGCCGCUGCUUGAUCACAUUCAACUCACAGACGUCAUCCUAAAGCCCUGUGAGCUUUUUGAUGCGUGCAUGUACCAGCAGGUGCACUGAGCAUUCAACCUUCAUACCAUGAUGAUGAAUGGUGAGAGAAUGCAAAGAAUAACCAUUAUAAACUAAAUCUCCGGCCCAGUUUGAUAAUGCUUGGUGGAGGACUGGUGUCACUCACAGGUUAAUCCUGGAACUCUAGAUUGCGGUGUAAUCAAAGUUAUUAAAGGCUUCCGCAAUCUCCUUUUCCAUUGCCAAGGAACCCUCGGAGGGAGGAGUUAGAACUAGAUGUUGAUCUCCAUCCUUAGAAAGUCUAACAUCCUCAGCAUCUCAUAGAUUACAAUGCCCAGAGACCACCAGUCGACAGAUCUUGAGUAUGGCUCCCUGGCGAGGACUUCUGGUGCCAUGUAGCCAAAAGAUCCUUUCAGGCUACUUGUUCGGCCUUCGUAGCCAAUUCCUGAAAAAAACAGUUAUUGUAAGUAAACUGAUGAUCAGUUGGGGCUUAUUUAUUUAUAUCGAUUCAGUUUAAUAAUGUUUAGUUUAAUAAUGAAACUGGGUAAAAUAUUUUCUGUGCAAAAAAUGAAAUUUCAAAUGUCAGUCACUUCAUGAACUUCAAUAACAUUAUGUGAAACUGAACCUUUUUUUGACGUGUUAGUUUAUGAGAAUCCUUACCGUCUUUGCUCAGCCCAAAAUCAGCCAGUUUAACGUAUCCACCGCUGUCUAAGAGCAGGUUUUCCGGCUUG